GCAUCUGCGACUGCGAGGAGAUCAUUA
rnacentral:rRNA from 1 species